rnacentral:lncRNA from 1 species
GACCGUGAUUCAGGAAUGACGCAGGAUCAAAAAAAAAAUUCGCCCCCUUUUAUUUUUAUUAAAUAAAUUUUAACAAUAAAAUUAUGCUUAAUUAAAUUGUUCUAAACACAUAUCAAUAUACAUAUCAAAUUUGAUAAUUAAUAAUUCGCAUAAAGGUUUGGCUCUGAUGCCACUGUUAGGUUUGUAAUAUUCAUGAACGCAAUCAAAUUGCACAAAGUAAGCGAAAGCGUGAAAAAUCAGAGUUUUAAAAUUUUACAAACCAUAUACCCGGAUCAUCCUUUAUGCGCAAUUAUUAAUUAAAUGAAAAGAUAAAGAACAAGAAUCAUACCCUUGAAGAUUCGAUCUUCCUCAGGUACAAUUUCACAUCCAAUCCUUUUCGCGUUCAACUUGAAUUCACCGGGUUUGGUUCAUUUGAUCAACGUUAGCCACCCAAGUGUUUGACCUCUAGAGAUGAUCCACCAAGGAAGAAGAAAUAAUCAAGAAGAAGGGUGAUUGACUAAACCCUAGUUUUCUAUCUCUAUAAAAAAUAAGCGUACUCUCCAACAAUUGGAAUAACGUCUGUUGUAAAAAGUCAACAACUACACCACCCAUAAUAAGAUUCCUCUUAUUUAUAGAUGUGGGCAACCCUCCUUAACAAUUAAGGAAUUGAGUUUUAUUUUAAUUAAUUAAAAUUCUUUAAUUAAUUAGCCUCCUAAUUUUAUUAGGAAUAAAUAUUAAAUAAUAAAUAUUAAGCUAUUUAAUUUAUUCUAUCACCAUAGAUUAAAUUAAAUACACUUAACAUAUUAUUACGAUUAUGUCAUUAACUUCUUAAAUAAUUAUUCUUCCUUUUAUUGUGUGACCAUUUUGGUUCUCCAUAUUAAACCGGUUGUGAAUAAAUCAAUUAGAACAAUUUUAAUCUUAUUUAAAUAAAUAAAUUAAACUAUUAAUUUAUUUAAAUAAAUAAUAUUUAUUCUACAAUAGGGAUAAGUCUCCCUAGCGAUCAACGACUUUUCAGAUAAUAUAGAUUUCAACAUUAAUCAUAAAUAUUUGAGUAAAUAGUUGUCGUACAAUUCAAUCCUUCCACCAUACAAUGUCCCAAUUAAAUAUAAGAUAUGAAAUUACUGUCAAGUCUUAUUUUAUUUAAUUAUAUGUAUUUCGACUCUUAAAUGCACAACUCCAAAUAAUAUAAAUUAGAAACUAAUACUUAUUUUAUUUAAUUAUAUGUAUUUCUAACACUAAUACUUAUUAUAACAACUGAACAUUGUUGAAACCAAAAAAUAAAAUGCCACAAGCAUAUCAGUUUUCGUUGGUGCAAUAUACAGUAAAACCUCUAUUUAGAAAUAAACUUGGGACCAAACUAUUUGUAUUCUAAUUGAGAGAUUAUUACUAAAUAGAGAUAUUUGUACAAAAUAUUUUUUGAACACCCAAAAAUAUCCACUUUAACAAAAAUAUAGAUUUUAUAACAAAAAUUAAAGAAAUCAUAAAUUAUUUAGAUUUUUAAACUAAGAAAAUGUAGUUUUUUUUUAUAGGAAAUGUAGUCUUUUAUAGGAAAUGUAGUCUUUUAUAGGAAAAUGUAGUUCUUUAUAAAAAAAUAUAAUUUUUUAUAAAAAAUACAGUCUUUUAAAAUUAAUAUUGUCUCUCUUUCUCUCUCUCAUAUAUAUAUAUAUAUAUAUAUAUAUAUGAAAUUAUUACUAUAUAGAGAUAUAGUUUCUUAAUACGAGACUUAAAAAGUAUAUAACAUAUUAUAAUUUAAAGGUUAUUCCUAUUUAUAACUGGCCCAAAUUGGUAAUAUUGUAGAGGUUAUUCUUAUAUAGAGUAUUCUUAAAUAGGAGUUUUACUGUAGUUCCAACUCAAAAGGAGUGCAACCUAAAUCACCAAAUCCGAAUACACCCACUUUCCUUGCUCUAUUUUUUUUUAUUUUAAAACAACCCAUAUAUAUUUCGAAUGAAACAAUUACCUGAAUUAUAAAACAAAUUUGAUUCAUGAAAUCCGAAGAGCAAUAUAGAAAAAAAAGUUCAUACAUGCAUCUCGUCGAAUAUAAUCCAAAUUGAAUAAUACAAACAUGAUUUAUGAAAAUUAUGAGUUAGCUCUGAUACCAAUUGUAGGAAACGAUUUUUAAAUAAAUUAAUAAUUUUUACUUUUAAAAAUUAUUAUCCCAAGAUCUUUUUCAUAAUUUAGCAUAAUCAAAAAAUUAAAUAAAUUAUAUUACAUACCUCGUGCUUGGUUGUAGCACAAUGGAGAAUUUUUUUUUCUGAUGAAUGAUCUUCUUCCCUCCCGAUCUUCCUCCCUAUAACCCAUAUUUUGAUAUUACGUACUUUUCUGAGUGUGGGCUCAAAAUACUGCAAAGUGAUAUAAUAUAUAGAGUCCUCAACUCCCUGAUAUUUAUCAGGAUAAUUUGAAAAUUUUUCUGAUAUAUUUUAUCCUGCUAUUUUGUUAUAUCUUAAUAAGGGUUAGAGUGGGAAUGAAGUAGAAUUCUACAAUUCUAGCUCCAAUAUAAUACUAAUUUCUGAUUAAUUCUUUAAUCAAUUAGAAUUAUAUUAAUUAUAACUAAUUUUACUAAAUAGUUAUAAUUGCACUCUAGAAUUAAUAGAAUUAAAAUUAAUUAAUUAAAUCCUUCUACUAUUAGUAUCUUGCAAAAAUACUCCUCUACAAUAAUAUUCAUAAACGCGUGUAGGAAUAAAACUGUUAACUCACUACGUUUACUGCUUAUAUCCUUGACUACAUAAUUUAUACAAUUUUGAUCACACAUUAAUUUAAUAUAUUAAAUUAAUACUUUAGUAAUUUGAAUUACUAAAAUACUUUGCCAAGAUUUUGUUGGUCAACGAAUAAAAUAUAUCAAGGGGAUAUUAUAAUUUAAUUGUAGAAUUCCAUCUUGAGAAAUACAUGUUCCUAAUUUCAUAACAUAUAUCACCCAACAUAUUGAGGUAUUGAUUGUAUUUAAAAUCUCACUCUUUAAUAUAUUAAAGUGACAUACAUUAUAAAAUUAAGUUCAUUGUUCUCUCAGGAUUAAGAGUAAUUGCACAUUAAUAGUAAUUGAAAAAUUAUUUAUAAUAACAGUAUUUAACAAAUAAUUUUUUCGUAACGAUUCAGUUCUAUGUAUUUCAAAAAUACACCAAUACACUAGAUUAAAGUCUUCACUUUACAUGACUAAGACAAAUCAUCUAAUUAAGUGUAUUACAAUCUACUAGAAUGGUUUGUCCAUUUCCAUCUAAGAUUGAGAAUAAUAUAUUUCUUUAAUUAUACAUAACAUAUAAUUUAUGUCUUCUGUAUAUGACACUCCUUCAUAUACAUAAAUUAUAAAAUGUAUAAUUAUGGACAAUUUAUGAUAUAUUUAAUUAUGAAAAAUGAAAUUAAAAUUUAUUAUUAAAAUAAUAAAAUAAAUAUCAACAUUGAGUUUUUCUGGGCUUAAAACCUUACAGGUAUUGCGACAAAACAACAUUGCCAUCCAACAACUCUGCAUAAGCAUUUAUAGCCCAUCUCAAGCAAAACAACAUCGCCAGAAAAAAUAAAAACAAACAACCCAACAAUCAUCACCAAAUCUUUUAGCAUAAACAAGAAAUAAAUUGACCACAACCAUGAGAUUUAUCAAUAAAUCAACCAUAACCAUGAGAUUUACCAAUAAAUCAACCAACAGUUUUACCAAUAAAUCAACCACAACCAUUGUUGGCAAAGAAACAUAAAAAGGAGAAAAACAAAUAAGAAAGAGAAGAAGAAGAAAAAGAAGACAAUACAUGAAGUUGUCGAUUGAUGGACUCCAUAGCUUAUUUUAUCAAUUUACUUGCAUAAUUCUUCGAUUCGUUGAUGGUCUAAGUCUCUGAGAUAGUUUACUUUGAUGUUCAUGCUUUGCCUUUGUUAAGGGAGAGAAAUAAUGGAGACUAUAUCAAUAUGCAGAGAAGUGGGAAAAUGAGAGAAAGAAUUAGAGAAAGUGGGAAAGUGGGAGAAGUGGGAAAGUGAGAGAAGUGAGAAAGACGGGGCCCAACCAUAUGCAUACA